UACGGAGGGUGCAAGCGUUAUCCGGAUUCACUGGGUUUAAAGGGUGCGUAGGUGGUUUUGUAAGUCAGUGGUGAAAUCCCGGAGCUUAACUCCGGAACUGCCAUUGAUACUGCUUAACUUGAAUCAACUUGAGGUGGAUGGAAUAUUACAUGUAGCGGUGAAAUGCUUAGAUAUGUAAUAGAACACCGAUUGCGAAGGCAGUUCACUAAGGUUGUAUUGACACUGAGGCACGAAAGCGUGGGGAUCAAACAGG
rnacentral:rRNA from 1 species